UCCUAUGAAUAUAAUCGCGAUUUGCAGUUCUGAGAAAAAGCUUCCUGCUAUUAAAAGUUAAUUUGAUCUUGAAAAAGCAAAGGGAUUGUGUGAAAGCUUCUCACCUGUUACUGUGGAAAUUUACUUGGCUUUGCUUAAAUUUCCCUUCAUCAGCCUUCAAAGUUCAGCUGAAGGUUGUUUAGGGUGUGGUGUCUUUGCAGGGAAGCAGAUAAGAAAUGCUCACCCAACCUACUCUUGCAGGUUGGGAGGUGCUAGAGACUAGCUUGGGGCAAGAUCCUCAAUUGUUUUAACUGGCUUCAUAAACAGAUACUUGACUGUGGUGUGGUUGGUGGUUUUUAUUUAUUUAUUUGAUUUUUUUUUUUAAAAAUUAUUGUUGAGUUUUUAUUUUUCUUUCCUGUUUUGAGCAUUGGCUACAGAAAACUGUGAUUAAAAUGUCUCCAUGUGUGAGCUGUAUCCAUUUAAUGUAAUGAAUUGAUGGAAGAUUUAUUCCUGUCUGCAGAGCUUAACAACUUGAAAUUUCCAGCACGGAGAUUGAAAGAAGAACAGCUGGCUGGCCUGGGGACAAGAUGGGAUGGGAUCUCCUGCUGCAGGCCUAGCUGUGAAAGCAGCUUAAAGUAGAGUUCCCGUGAAAUUCAUGGAUUGCUACCUUGUGUAACUCAUUCAAAGAUACUUGUUCCUUGCUUGCAUAGGUUUUACGACCACACUGUCACUUUUAUUCUUUGAGAGGAACAAACGCUGAAGGGAUCAAGGGUGUCUCUGCUCUUCCAUAAGCCGAUUGUCUCAGUCCAGCUGUGCCAAUAAAAGAACUUUCUGGCCCCUAACUCUUCAUUCUUCAUUCAACUUCUCUGCCAGUUGAGCAGGUGAUCUGGCACCUUCAGAUCUAUACCAAUGAAGAUAAAGGAUUACAAACUCCUAAACAUGCUUUCCUUCACAUUACUAAGCUGUCCAUCAAGUUUUUAAAGUGUUACUAUGUCAAAUUUCUUGUCUGUUUCAUAGAAAAAUAAAGCAAAGGACAAUAAUUUUGAAAUUACUCAGUGAUUUUUUGAAAAAAUAGAUAUUUAAACUUGCUAAGCAAUUUAAAGUGAUACCCUAUAAUAACACGAUUUUUUAUGUAAAAUACUAAAAUUCUAUGUAUAAAACACUUCCAGCACCAUAUGUUAACUUUUUAAAUUUGUCUGCUAAUGGCUAAAAUAUAAAUAGCUGGUUUAUAUUCAGUUCCUUAAAAAUUUGAAUACCCUUUCUUUAAUUUCCUUUUCAAAAAAAGUGUUUAUCUUCUGUAAUUUAUUAUAAUGUGUGUUUGCAAAUUACAUACUGAGAUAUCCAUCCAGAGACCCUGAAAGGUAGCACAGGUGCUAUAGCACAAACCACUAAGCUAUUCAGUAGUAAUUCACUUUUGAGUGGAUCAGUAGGUCGUGAGAUGAAUACAGACAGUGAAUGCAGAAAGGACUGAACCUGCUUUUAUGGUUUACAUAACAGAAAUAAUAUUUGGUGUUGACAGAUGGAAUAGAGUGCUCAGGACUCAGUAAUAAAGAACAAGAGCACAACAGAUAAAAGAACAUUGAAGGUAGAGGGCAUAACUGUCACGGACACAGUGUUUAGAAGAUGAACAAUAUAACGAACUAAUUAUGUUUCAGUACAAACAGUGCCUGAACAGGACAUGUGGUCUGAGCCAAGCUCUUGGUACAUGUGGCUCAUGCAGCCCAAUUUACAUCACACUUUUCCAGUGAGUAAUUGAGCAUCCUACUGUAGAGCUGUUUAGCAGUUCCAGAAACUGCACACUCUAUUCAGAGAUGCAGAUAAUGAGGUAUUUUUGCAUUUAUUUACAGUCAAUUAUACAUCCAGUGCUGCUCACAGUUUGAAAUGUGGCCCCUUGUUACCUUUUAAACAUUAUUGAAAUGGAAAUUUUAGAUUUGUUUUUGUCAGUUAAGAGGAGUAGAAUUUAUUACCAAGUAUAAAGACAUGAAAAUGAAACUGAAACUUUUAGAUCAACCCAAAACAUUAAAAUAUUUUUCUGCAAAAUAAUACAAUUGUUUUGCCUCUCUGUCUCUUUGUAGGAUACUUUAGCAUAAAAGCUUUACCUUCUCUGGCCCUUGGAUGUUUUUCACCAAGAAACUGCCCCAUAAACCUCCAUUUGAAGUUUCACCUCAGAUCAGUAACAGCCACCCACUGUCUUUAAGCUCUUGAGGAUGAUCUGACUUUUUAAUAGUGCCUCAUUACAUUUAAUUCACCAUCUGUGCCUUUGGUUUUGUUCGCUUAUACUUGUGCACAGCAGCAAUUUUUUCCUGUUUCUAUGCAUUAACUUCUGUCAGGUAAUGGUGUGUUUUGAGUUUUUUGUUUGUUUUUAAAUUAGUAUUUUUUCCUCUCCUUUGGAAUGGCAUAGAAGAAGUUACUCCAGAAACCAGGGAACUGAAAUUACCAAAAUGCAAUUCCUCCGAGUAUAAUUCAACAAUUGAAAUAAAACACAUUACUAAAUGGUUAUAAGGAACAAUUUCCCCAAACUGCAGGAACAGGAUAUAUGAGUUAGCAGAGGUUUGGCAUAUUAUUAAUGAGUGCAGGAAGUUCUUCUCUCAGAAAGAAUAACAUUUACUUUGUGAUAUCUCUAAUAGUAAGUUAUAUUGAGCUGAAUUUGAACUGGUGGUUGAAGACUACAGAGAAUCACUGGGUUCAAUUUUUGUCUGCUACUGUUUGUACAUAAUAGAAAGUGAAAUAAUUGUGAAACUGUAGUAACUUCAUAGAUAAAUGUAAAUUGCAAUACCUGUAACUUAUUUUCUGUGUACUGUGG